rnacentral:lncRNA from 1 species
UUGAAGAAGUCUAGUCACCUGCUGAAAUUCUAAAGUUGACGAAGAGACUGUUUUAAUCAGCUGCAAUCUAGCUCAGAGUAAGUUCUUAAAGUUUACCUUGUUUUGCUGUUAAACAUUUGUCAAACCGGACACAUGUAAUUUGAUCUUCAUUUGAUAUUCCACUUGGAGCAGCGUCCCUCGAACCAAUUGGCUGUGAUUCACCUUGGUCCAUCCAGCACAUUUCCCUUUAAUCACAGCGUAGUGAAAUUCAUUAAGCCUCGAUGAAGUAAGCAGGGAUGUCAUUUUACAAAGCUGAUGUGGCCAUGACCUGUUUAAGUCAUGCGGAAUUCUAGUAAGUCAAAAAACUUCUAGUAAAGUUAUAAGAGUGGGAACAGUAUGUGCUGAUUUUGAUAAUGGCAGCUCACUUUUUUCACUGCAACCUAGUCCACCCCAUUGUAGCAGGGCAGCUCAAAUUGCAUAGUGUCAAUAGUUAGUUUCUUGAACUUGUUAGAUGGCUUCUUGUGGGAAUUUUAGUUUUCAGAGGAUAUGCAAUUCCUGCAGAUUGGGCUAUUAUGCAUGGCUUUGUACACUGUACCCGUUCAGUUGAAUCCUGUAGUUUGUUUCAAUCAUUUGCAAGGGCAGCUUUUCCUGGCUGAUCAUGUUGAAUUUCAAUGAAAAAGAGACAGUGUACUUAAAAAUAGGUUACCAGCUAGCGAAUAUAUAUAUAUAUAUGUUUGUUUCAAAUUUGUUUUUGUAGACUUUUCCCUCUGUUAAAUUACUCUGUUUCAUUUUUGUGCUAGCUAGGUUGAAUUGCUUUGCUCACUGGUUUCCUUUUUCCAAUGCUUGUGGUUUCCGGACGGUGCUGGGCCCUGGUAGUCGCUGACAACCGUUCCUGGAUUCCUUUUCAAAUAAGGUUACCUCCAUUUCGCCAAAAAAAAAAAAAAUAGAUAUGAAAACUCAACCAUUUCUAAUUAUAAUGACAGGC